CCGCUGUCUCCGUUCCAUGGUCGUUCUCCCAUCCAUCUGCCUUCUCGCCUGUGAGUUCUUUUUUUGGUGGUUGGUAUUUUCUUUCUUUCUUUCUGGAGCGUCUUGGCAACUCCACUGUAAUCCAAUUGCUGCAUCCCUUUAAUUGUUGUUCCGCUGCCGUGGAUGAUUCCGGCCUCUCCGUUUGUUCUAGUUUUUGUGUAGUUGCGUAUUUUUCCGUUGUGUAGCCUAUCCUUCCGUACCCUUUACACAGUAUGACAUCCCCCUCGUAUUCGAUUUUUGAAUGUGCUCUCCAAUUACGAUAGAAAUUCUAAGAGGGACAUCUACAUGGACUUGAAUGCAAAUCCUUGCAUAUCUACCUCUGAGAGUAAUAGAUGUGCAAGUAUCAAUCUUUAAUAACUUCCUCACUUUUGCUUCCAACUCGUUCUAGAGUCUCUUAUCAUAGAACUCUAUAGAUAAUUAGGGCAACCUGAUCCAUAUGGUUGUGGAUUGGAUCUUGGAUUUUUCUAGAAUAAAAUUGGGCUCCUAAUUUCGAAAUGAGAGAAUGUGUCCCAUAACGAGCCAUGGGCCUUUCUAUAAGGCUUUUUCCAUAUUGAAUUUUUUUGAAACUUCACAAUGAAGACGUUCCAGCCCAAGUCAAUGAUUGUUAGGUGCUCACCGGGGCACCAUAGUUGUUGUAGUUUAGGUUUGAGAAGUUGAUGGGGAAUUUUAUUUCCAAUAACCUUGACGAUCACUGAGAACCUAUACGGAGGGUAGAUUCCACUUUUUUGGUCAUGGGAUACUAUAAUUUCCUCUGCAUUGUCAUCUUCCAAUGGAUCUUUUAGGGUUGCUUCCACUUGGUGUUAAUUUAUGAGGUAGACGCUUGACUCUGUCAAGUGGUUGUCUUCCAGAAUAUUUUUGAAGGAGUUCUUCAUUGAAGGAGCUUCGAUAUUUGUUGGAACUACCGUUUGAAUCCGAC
rnacentral:lncRNA from 1 species